CAAAGGGAAGCGAAGGGGUGACCUGGAGCGAAUCUCAAAAAUAACGUCUCAGUUCGGAUUGUAGUCUGCAACUCGACUACAUGAAGCUGGAAUCGCUAGUAAUCGCGAAUCAGCAUGUCGCGGUGAAUACGUUCCCGGGUCUUGUACACACCGCCCGUCACACCAUGGGAGUCGGAAACGCCCGAAGCCAGUGACCCAACCGAUAAAACGGAGGGAGCUGUCGAAGGUGGGGCCGGUAACUGGGGUGAAGUCGUAACAAGGUACC
rnacentral:rRNA from 1 species